rnacentral:rRNA from 1 species
GACAGAUGGGAGCUUGCUCCCUGAUGUUAGCGGCGGACGGGUGAGUAACACGUGGGUAACCUGCCUGUAAGACUGGGAUAACUCCGGGAAACCGGGGCUAAUACCGGAUGGUUGUUUGAACCGCAUGGUUCAAACAUAAAAGGUGGCUUCGGCUACCACUUACAGAUGGACCCGCGGCGCAUUAGCUAGUUGGUGAGGUAACGGCUCACCAAGGCAACGAUGCGUAGCCGACCUGAGAGGGUGAUCGGCCACACUGGGACUGAGACACGGCCCAG